rnacentral:rRNA from 1 species
AUGGCUUCAAGUCAGGCGAGACCACCCGC